UUGUUUCUUUAGCUGGUGAAGAGGGUUGUUGUUACAGCCAGCAUCAGCAAUGGCGAGCCGCCUCUCUUUUUACACACAGCUCUCCGCCAUCAUGGAGACGAUGGCCAGGUCUGCCCUCAGUCAAGUCUGCAAGCUGGUGGAUGAAGACUCGGCUAAGCUCCGGCUCGGCUUGUCUCAGCUCCUGGUUGCUAAUUCCGCGCUGGCGGAGAAAGUAAACAGUCUGGAGUGCGAACUGACGAUUGUGAAAAGCGACUCUCCCAGGUUGUGUAAAAGUUAUCGCAGCGUAGGUGUACAAGCUGUCUGCCACAGAGACGGGGGGGACGCUCAUGUGUCUGAGUCACCCACCAUAGAGGGGAUCUUUGGAAAAGAUUGGUGUGUGAAUCUCUGGAAAGACCGAGACCCAUACAGUGUGGAGAGAGACUCACCACAGUCAUCCGAGGAAUCUGUGGCGAUGCUGUCCAAUCAAUUUACUGUUACUGAGAUCAAACAGGAGGAUUAUGUGGAGGACACUGCCAACAGCUGCCUGCAGGAAACACUUAGUACAGAGGAGCAUGAAGACAGCAUAGCUGAGGAACCAGAGCAACUGUUGGCCAGUAACUCAGAAAGCAUUUGCAGCCUGUCAUUUUAUCAGGAUGGAGAACAGGUUGUGUGUGCAGGUGGUACUGAAGAACAGACCAUACAGUUGAUAUCCAUCGAUGACACAGAGGAAGCCUUCAGCACUCAUAUCAUUCCAAUUGAAGAGGAGGAGGAGGAUGAUGAUGAUAAUGAUUUACAAUUUGUUGAAGAAAGUCAACAAGAGCCAACAAUGAAUGCUCCAGAUGGGCCCAGCCACAACAAUCAGCACACAUUAGCUGCAAACAUCUCUGAAAACAGCACUGAUCUGGAUAAAGAUUUGCACGAUGACUUUUAUAUAUUUAAUGCAGAAACCACCAGAGAGCCAGACAAAUUCCCAUGUCGGAUAUGUGGCAGGACAUUCUUCCACAAGGGCACUCUAACACUGCACAGGAAGUCCCACAAGUCCAACUUUUGCAACAUUUGUAAGCAGCAUUUCCCUCACAGGAACAAGUUCAAAAAGGUGCACACCUGCGUGCCUCCAGUUGCCUCUCAGAGUGUAAGUAGAUCAUGCGAGCUGUGCGGGAAGACCUUUGCAAACCCAUCAGCUCUGAGGAUUCACUAUGUUGUCCACACAGGAGAGAAACCAUACAGGUGCAGCUUUUGUGGUAAAGGGUUCACCCAGAAAGGCAAUCUGAAAUGUCACCUUCGUAUCCAUACUGGAGAGAGACCAUUCUGCUGUGUUAAAUGUGGGAAGACAUUCACGCAAAAGAUCAACCUCAGCCAUCAUUUAAUGACACACACAAAUCCUUAAGUUUUGAAAGCUAUGAGACAUUUUAAAGGCUUAAAACCGGGAUUGAUUGUGGUGCAAGAAGAGAAAGAAUGCAUUGUGUACUACUUCUACUAUUAGCGUUAGGGCAGUCAAUGUCAUGUUUGUGAUGACUUGUAGUCUGUACUGUACUGCUUAAGUCAAAACAGGUCAGUGUUUU